GGCAGUGGGAAUUCCAUAUACAGACAGGGAGGAGGAGCCUGUGAUGGUUAAGGAGAAGGCAUAAUCUCCCUAAACGCCAACCUGGAGGCAGUAAUGGGCUGGAUGAGGGAUAACAAACCGAGGAUGAAUCCAGAUAAGACGGAGGAGAAAUCCUGCUGCAGGCUUGUGCUUAGAGUCCUGCCAGGGAGCUGUAUGUAACCUUGUUUAGUACAACAGUUACCAAUACCAAUAUGUGUGUGGAGACGAAAUGAGUAAUCAAGAUUCAACAGAGACAACGCAGAAUUUGUCAUCUUUUGAAUUGCUACAUACCACUUGCAUAAUCUGAGAGAACAGCAAGCGAGUGCGAGACCAUGCCUGCACCACUGCGGCAGCGUGCAAAGAGCCGGGCUUGGUAGCUAGCUGGCUGCCCUGCCUUGACCAAGAAGUGAAGUUGCUGACCUGGCUGAGGAGAGCAGGCUGGGUGACCAUUGGGGAAGGAGGACAAAGGACCGCGUGUGUGUGGCAAACCUAACCAGGAGAUGAAUUUAAGGGUCAGAAGCAGGGGCCUUGAGAACUCUGCAUUUAUAUAAUACCAAUAAACAUAUGCAAAUUUUAUGCAAAAUGGAGACUUUCUGCAGACCUGUUUUUGGUGAAAAGCAUCCUCUAUUUCCACUUUUUUGGUGAUGGAUAUUGACUUUUCUCACCGUCUGGACCUGGCAGCCCUAUGCGUUACCUGGAUCUGUACAUACUCAAGCAUCAGAGCCCUCUUUACGGACAGAAGGGAACAGAGGUGCACAGCAUUGGCCCCUGUGAUUGGCAGGCACUACAAAGCCUCUGGCCUGGCCAGUCCUAAUAUAAAUACCCUGAAUCUAGCCUUCUGCUUGUCUGGUCAACAGAACAGAAACUUCUGCCUGCUAUUUGGCAGUGCCUGACUCCAGUAAAAGACAGCAGGAAUUGGGGAGCAGGGUGUAAAAGCCUUACUUGAGAUUUGUCCAUCCACAGCCUUGGCCAUGCUCUGCUACAGCUUCGACUGCAGUGCUAACAACCACCAUUUCUAACUACAAACAACUUGGGGGGGAAAAACCGAGAUUAGCAGCUGCUAUUGUCCUUCCUUUAACUUGCACUCCAUCCCUGAUGCACUUCCUGUAGUCUUCCAUCUGGUGCUGGGCACCUGAACUUUACCUGUAUUGCCUUAAAAGCACAUGAGAUUGAUUACAAAGUACAAUGCAAAC